GGUAAGGUCAGGAGCUGUUUUUGUUCCCAUUGUCCAGAUGUAACUGAGUGCCAGAGUCACAUAGCUGGAAAGGAGCAGCACUGGGGUUCGGAGCUGGGUCUGCUGGAUUCCUCAUUUUCAGCUUUUGGUUCGUUCCCCCCUUUCCUUUGAUUUUUCUUUCCUUUCUUUUACAUUUUAAAAUUUAUUUUUUUAGGAGUUCCUGUUGUGGCGCAGUGGUUAACGAAUCCGACUAGGAACCAUGAGGUUGAGGGUUCGGUCCCUGCCCUUGCUCAGUGGGUUAAUGAUCCGGCGUUGCCGUGAGCUGUGGUGUAGGUCUCAGAUGAGGCUCGGAUCUUGCGUUGCUGUGGCUGUGGCAUAGGCUGGCGGCUACAGCUCUGAUUAGACCCCUAGCCUGGGAACCUCCACAUUCAGAGGGAUCGGCCCAAGAAAUGGCAAAAAGACAAAAAAAAAUUUUUAUUUAUUUGUUUUUUUAUGGCCAUACACGUGGCAUAGGGAGGUUCCCAGGCUAGGGGUCCAGUCGGAGCUACAGCUGCCGGCCUACACCACCGCCACAGCAAUGCAGGAUCUGAGCUGUGUCUGUGACCUACACCACAGCUCAUGGCAACGCCAGAUCCUUACCCCACUGAGCAAGGCCAGGGAUUGAACCCGCUACCUCAUGACUCCUAGUUGGAUUCGUUUCCGCUGUGCCACGAUGGGAACUCCUCUUUUACAUUUUUCCAUGUUCUUUCUAUAAACUUGUAGAGGAGUGGGGACAAGAGGGCUGUGGGCAAGGAGUCCUGUGGGCAGCGUUUGCUGGAGCCCGGGUGAGCAGAGAAGCCCUGGGGAGGUUUCAGGCCUGCAGCCAUUGAGCCCCAGGCCGCUUGCUUCAUUCUUGGCCACCUGUCGGGCUUCCUUUUCUUCCUUCACAGUCCCUGGGCCUUGGCCUUCCCUCCUCUUCCUUCUCUUGGGGUCCCCCCACCUCCCUGCUGUCUGCAGGGACACAGUGUCUCCAGGCCUUCUUUCCUUGCUGCUGCAGAGGUGGGUGUGUGGACUUUUCUGUCGACCACAAUGGAUAAAACUAACAAAGGUGUUUGUGGCCAAGAGCAGUGAAGGACUGGCCCCUCAGAAGUGCACGCCCAGCCCUGCUUGGUCCCAGUUCUAGGAUUGGUGGCAGAAAUGAAAAAUCUGAAGUCCUGAGGAAAAAACCAAAGGAGUCACAUCCCUGGGGAUCCCGUGAGGCCCUCCCUUCGAGUUAAAUCUGGUGCCAUCUUGGAAGCAGCACUUUAGCACAAAGGCAGCCGUUUCCAGGGCUGUACCCAAGGCACAUGGAGGUUCCCAGGCUAGGGGUCGAAUCAGAGCUACAGCUGCCAGCUUACACCAGACACAGCAACACACGCUCCAAGCCGCAUCUGUGACCUACACCACAGCUCACGGCAAUGCUGGAUCCUUAACCCACUGAGCAAGGUCAGGGAUCGAACCUGAAUCCUCAUGGAUCCGAGCCACAACGGGAAGACCCAAGAUGUUAAUAUUAACAUCAGUGAAUCCAGAGGAGGAAUAUACUGUUCAAAAUAUGUACUAUUUCAGCUUUUUCACAGAAUUGCGAAGUUUGAACGAAACAGUGUGUAAUUAACUUUUUCCAGAACGUGGAAUUUACCAUCUGGUUGAAGCAGUAAAAUACCUGGCCACUGA
rnacentral:lncRNA from 1 species